UCGGUUUCGAUGGUGGUAGUAUAAUCCCAAACCGAAUAGUAGCCCAAAAUUUUUGAGAUUGAGAACAGACCAUUUUCAUCUCAUCUUAAGGCUAAAAUCUUUUGAAAUUAAAACUUCAAACUCAAUUAACAAAUUCAAUUGUUCCGGGACCUAAUAACCUUUAUUCUUGAUCCAAGUGUACGGAAGAAAGGAGUUGAGGUUCAAACCCAACAACCUCUUCAAUAAGGAAAAAAACUUGCUACCACGCACUAGGACGAAAGCUUAAUCCUAAUGAACUUUGUAUUUCAAAGCACAACAGGAAAACCAUUUUCUCCGUUGGGUGUCACAGGUAACCCAUCGUAAAUCUCAUUCUUCUGCAGCUUUGGUAAAGCAAGACUCCGUAGCUUCCUUACAUAUAAUAGCUUCUUCCUUGCUUGUUCCAUUACCAUCCUUGCAUGUCUCUUUAAGCGUAUCUCUUCGAAUCUAAAAUUAAAGCUCUACCCCUUUUUCUUCGGCUACUCUGAUAACUAGUUAAAGUCAAAGGAUGCUUUGUCUGUG
rnacentral:lncRNA from 1 species